rnacentral:tRNA from 1 species
UCCUGGGCCAUUAGCUCAGGUGGUUAGAGCGCACCCCUGAUAAGGGUGAGGUCCCUGGUUCAAGUCCAGGAUGGCCCAUCGGGAUUGGGGGUUUAGCUCAGCUGGUAGAGCGCCUGCUUUGCAAGCAGGAUGUCAGCGGCUCGAGUCCGCUAACCUCCAUUAGUCUUGAUAAUGGAACUGUGGCGCAGGGUGACUUAGAAGGAUGUUGGUGAUUCCGGCCUCGUUUGAUUCUUGAUUCAAGUUCAAACGAUGCUGGGCUCAGCAAUGGGUUCAGCAAGAACCUUGACAACUGCAUAGGUAAGUCUGGAAAUAAAGCAUCUCACAGAGAUGAUCCAGGCAUGAAGUGAUCCACGUUACGGCGUGAUUUGCUUGAUGUUUGGUUCAACAAUUCUGGAGAAAAGCCGAGUCCUGAAUCAAUUUGAUCAGGAACAAAAUGGUCAAGCUACAAAGGGCUCACGGCGGAUACCUUGGCACACAGAGGCGAUGAA